GAGAGAGGCUCAUGGUCCAUCUAUGCCCCGAGCAGCUGAGUCAGAGGUAUCGGCACAGAGUCAUCCAGCUCAGCGAUGUCCACGCCAGACUCAGUCCCAUCAGGCUCGACCUCCCCUCGCUACUUAUGCUAGGAGGAUGAGGACUAGAUCACAGCCAUUAGAUACCCCCUAGGCUGAUGUUAGCACUAUGAUUAGUGCCUAAAAUUAAUCUAGUUCUCAUAUGUAUUUUGUGUUGAUCAUGUACUUUGCACUUUGAUUGAAGAACAUUGUAUUUUUGGCAUUAAUGUACUAUAAUAUUCUAUUUUGAUCAAUGAAACUUGACUGUUUAUUAUUUACUGUGUCUACUUAUCUAUUGCCUUGCACCUAUUUGAUGAUAACAAAAAAGGGGAGAAGCAAGGAAAGAAAAAAGUUGCAAUAAGUUGACAAACAAGGUUGAAAAUUAUAAUAGAGAUAAUAUACACUUAAGGGGAAGCGAUAUGUAACAAUGAAAAUGUUAAAGUCCUAACUCUCAAUCAAAUUUCAGAAUUUGGCACAUACUUUUCAUACCUCGAUACAUAAUCUGAAACUCUUGCUUUAUCUCAAAUUUUUGAAGUUUCAUCUUUAACCAAAUAUAAAAGAAAGGGGGAGUAAAUUAAAAAGUUCAAAUGGCAAUAUUUGGAUGAAAAAGGGGAGAAUUCACUCUCAAAUUUGAAAAGCUGAAAUUCAACAACUUGAGCUCUUCUAAAACUGAUUUUUAAGUUAAGUAACAAUCGGCUCAUACUUAAUAUUUUGUAAUCAUCAAAAAGGGGGAGAUNN
rnacentral:lncRNA from 1 species